rnacentral:rRNA from 1 species
UAAGGAAUAUUGGUCAAUGGAGGCAACUCUGAACCAGCCAUGCCGCGUGAAGGAUGAAGGCCCUCUGGGUUGUAAACUUCUUUUAUCUGGGAAGAAAUCCACUGUUUCUACGGUGGUUGACGGUACCAGAGGAAUAAGCACCGGCUAACUCCGUGCCAGCAGCCGCGGUAAUACGGAGGGUGCAAGCGUUAUCCGGAUUUACUGGGUUUAAAGGGUGCGUAGGCGGGCUUUUAAGUCAGCGGUGAAAGCUUCGAGCUUAACUCGGAAAUUGCCGUUGAUACUAUUAGUCUUGAAUUAAGUUGAGGUGGGCGGAAUGUGUCAUGUAGCGGUGAAAUGCUUAGAUAUGACACAGAACACCGAUUGCGAAGGCAGCUCGCUAAACUUAUAUUGACGCUGAGGCACGAAAGCGUGGGGAUCAAACAG